rnacentral:rRNA from 1 species
CUCGCCCGCCGAUUGGACAAAUUUAAACCCUUUGCAGUUGCAAUCAGCGUCUGAAAAUAAUAGUUACAACUUUCAACAACCGAUCUCUUGGUUCUGGCAUCGAUGAAGAACGCAGCGAAAUGCGAUAAGUAGUGUGAAUUGCAGAAUUCAGUGAAUCAUCGAAUCUUUGAACGCACAUUGCGCCCCUUGGUAUUCCAUGGGGCAUGCCUGUUCGAGCGUCAUUUGUACCUUCAAGCUUUGCUUGGUGUUGGGUGUUUGUCUCGCCUCUGCGUGUAGACUCGCCUCAAAACAAUUGGCAGCCGGCGUAUUGAUUUCGGAGCGCAGUACAUCUCGCGCCUUGCACUCAUAACGACGACGUCCAAAAGUACAUUUUUUAACACUCUUGACCUCGGAUCAGGUA